GAUGAACGCUGGCGGCAGGCUUAACACAUGCAAGUCGAACGAUGUAGCAAUACAUAGUGGCGCACGGGUGAGUAACGCGUGGGAAUGUACCUUUUAGUGGGGGAUAACUCCGGGAAACUGGAGCUAAUACCGCAUACGCCCUUCGGGGAAAGAUUUAUCGCUAAAAGAUCAGCCCGCGUGAGAUUAUGGUAGUUGGUGAGGUAAUGGCUCACCAAGCCGACGAUCUCUAGCUGGUCUGAGAGGACGACCAGCCACACUGGAACUGAGACACGGGCCAGACUCCUACGGGAGGCAGCAGUGGGGAAUAUUGGGCAAUGGAGGCAACUCUGACCCAGCCAUGCCGCGUGAGUGAUGAAGGCUCUAGGGUUGUAAAGCUCUUUCGCCGAUGAAGAUAAUGACGGUAGUCGGAGAAGAAGCCCCGGCUAACUUCGUGCCAGCCGCCGCCGUAA
rnacentral:rRNA from 1 species